ACUGCCUGAUGGAGGGGGAUAACUACUGGAAACGGUAGCUAAUACCGCAUAACGUCGCAAGACCAAAGUGGGGGACCUUCGGGCCUCAUGCCAUCAGAUGUGCCCAGAUGGGAUUAGCUAGUAGGUGAGGUAACGGCUCACCUAGGCGACGAUCCCUAGCUGGUCUGAGAGGAUGACCAGCCACACUGGAACUGAGACACGGUCCAGACUCCUACGGGAGGCAGCAGUGGGGAAUAUUGCACAAUGGGCGCAAGC
rnacentral:rRNA from 1 species